rnacentral:rRNA from 1 species
GAUCCUGGUUCAGAUUGAACGCUGGCGGCAUGCUUUACACAUGCAAGUCGAACGGCAGCACAGGGAGCUUGCUCCCGGGUGGCGAGUGGCGCACGGGUGAGUAAUACAUCGGAACGUGUCCUAUUGUGGGGGAUAACUGCUCGAAAGGGUGGCUAAUACCGCAUGAGACCUGAGGGUGAAAGCGGGGGAUCGCAAGACCUCGCGCAAUUGGAGCGGCCGAUGCCCGAUUAG